AGACAGUAAAAUAAAUUAUUGGUUAAAUUUUAAAACUAACUUUAAAAAUACUUUUAAAACUGUUUUACCUUUUGAGUUUUGUGCAGAAGAAUUGAAUUUCAUGUUUAGGAAUAAACUCUUAAAAAAUAUGAAGGAAUACCUGUAUGGCGAAAGCUAUUCUUUAGCAAAAUCUGACGUUGAGGGACGAAAGUAUAGGGAGCGAACAAGAUUAGAUACCUUGGUAGUCUAUACCUUAAAUUCUGAAUGCUGUAAUUUAAAAAAUUCGAUUUUUAGAUUUUUAAGUUAACACCAUAAGCAUUCCGCCUGAGGAGUACGAUCGCAAGGUUGAAACUCAAAGGAAUUGACGGGGACCUACAACAAGUGGUGGAGCAUGUGGUUUAAUGCGAUAGUCCGCGCAAAACCUUACCAAUCCUUGAUAUAAAGAAAAAAUUAAACUAGAUUUCGUAAACAUGAAUUCUCAUAAGAUUGCAAUAAUAAAAUUUCUUUACAGGUGUUGCACGACUGUCGUCAGCUCGUGUCGUAAGAUGUUUGGUUAAUUCCUUUAACGAGCGA
rnacentral:rRNA from 1 species